rnacentral:rRNA from 1 species
UACGUAGGCAGCGAGCGUUGUUCGGAGUUACUGGGCGUAAAGGGUGCGCAGGCGGCCGAGUGUGUGAGGCGUGAAAGCCCGGGGCUUAACCCCGGAAUUGCACCUCAAACUACACGGCUAGAGCAUUGGAGAGGGUAGCAGAAUUCAUGGUGUAGCAGUGAAAUGCGUAGAUAUCAUGAGGAAUACCAGAGGCGAAGGCGGCUACCUGGACAAUUGCUGACGCUCAGGCACGAAAGCGUGGGGAGCAAAAGGG